UUCUGCCAACGGCGAGCCCGGCCUCUUCCCUCGGGGAUCCGCUCCGCACCACGCCCCUCUCUCCGCGUGGAGGGUCUCUCCCGGUCCGUUCCCGAGGGCAGAAGCGAGGUGGGGGUCCCCCGGCUCUCCUGGGGCAGCCCUCGCUGCGAGGGGGCGCGGGCGAGGCGGCGGCGUCCCCUCGGUACCGGGCAGAGGGGAGAGAUCCCGGCCGGUCGGAGCUCCCGGGCGCAGACCCCUUCCGGCAGAAUCCUCCCCUGCCUUUUCACCGUUGGCUGGCUGUGACAAACAGGUUCAUUUUUUGCCUCCCAGUGUCUUUUCGCAGUGUCACCUUCUGCGUCACAUGAAGAAAAUGCUCCAUGGUUUAUUCCGCUUGCUGCUCAGCUGGAUGUCAGCUGGCACCGUUUCACUGUGGUUGCCCUUUCUUCUGUCAUGACAGUACAACGCAGAUGGAAAGAAUCCAUAGUGGUCUGCAAGUACAAGGCUUUCCCAAGAAGCAUUAGCAGCCUUGUAACUAGUGACAGUGAGUCCUGAGGUAUUUUUGUUUUACACUUCACUUUCAGCAUUAUUGACCAAGCAAGCAAGAUGCGCAGCAGCAGCGCUAGGGCUGUAGCUGUUGUGGUGGAUCCGUAAGCGUAGAUUCUGAUUGCGUACAACAUUGUCCCACAGCCUCCCAGGGUUAUCUCCCUGCAGCAGUACUGUAAGGAAGGGAGGAGACAUUUUCCAAUACCAGCGAGAGUGUUUACUUUUAUGCUAAGAACAUGUUCAAAAUCAUAUCAAUUAUCCUAAAUGCUGAUUUUAAGAGUUCAGAUCACUCUAACUUUUAAAAGAUGUGUUGUAUUUCGAGCUGACCUGUUUACCUGGAAUCCUCCUUUAGCUCAACUACUCUUCUUGUGCACCCGCAGCCUCUGCUGGCAGGGCAGUAUGAGAAGCCCUUGACUUAGCUUAGCAACAACUAAAGCAUCAGUGUGU